rnacentral:rRNA from 1 species
AAAGACCCCCCCUUUUUUUUUUUUUAAAAAAGGGGGGGCCCCCCCAGAAAAAAAUUUUUUUUUAGGGGGGGACCCCCCGCCGUUUUUUUUUUUAUAUUUGUGUCCCCCCAAAAAAAACCCCCGGAGGGGGGUUUUUUUCCCCCGGGGGGGGAAAAAUCCCCCCUGGGCCCACACUUGUUUUUUUUUUAAAUAUAUGAGGAGCCCGGGUGGGCCCCUAUUUUGUCUGGCGCGAAAAAAAAAAAAAAAUUGGUAACCCAAGAAAAUAUCCCCCCCAAAAAAACCCCAAACGGGAAGGGCGGGAAUUUUCUUUAAUCCCGCCUUUUCCCUAACGGGUUGAAAUAACCGGGUGGCCGGGGAAUGGGUCUGGACAAAAGACCUGGAGGUUGAAAGGCGAUCGCCCUUCCUAACCAAAAUUCUUUUGGGAUUAAUUACUUUGGGUGCCCUUCUACCCGGCCUCCUCGGAAGAAUUUGUUAUAACAUUCCUAUGAAGCAAAGUAGCGUUUUUUUGGCUGGAGUAUGACCCUCUCUCCGGAGGUCUCUCCUUUUCAACAGAGCGAGGUCCUAUGAGUAGUCGCGAUGUACGCCUUCUGUUAUUUCUCUGCACGCUGCGGUACGUCUUGUGACAACCCUCCUUCCGAUGCAGUCGAGUUGUUUGACGAAUGCAGCAAAAAAGGGGCGGUAAUAUUUCAUCUAAAGCUAAAUAUUGCACAGAGACCGAUAGCGCACAAGUAGAGUGAUCGAAAGAUGAAAAGCACUUUGGUAAGAGAGUUAAACAGUACGUGAAAUUGUUGAAAGUGAAGCGCUUGCAACCAGACUUGCACGCAGCUAAUCAUCCGGUGUUCUCACCGGUGCACUUGAUUGCGUUCAGGCCAGCAUCGGUUUCGGCGGUGGGAUAAAGGCCUUAGGAAUGUAGCUGCUUUCGGGCAGUGUUAUAGCCUAGGGUGCAAUGCCGCCUGCUGGGACCGAGGACCGCGCUUCGGCUAGGAUGCUGGCGUAAUGGUUGUAAGCGGCCCGUCUUGAAACACGGACCAAGGAGUCUAACAUCUAUGCGAGUGUUUGGGUGUCAAACCCAUACGCGUAAUGAAAGUGAACGGAGGUGAGGACCCUUAAGGGUGCAUCAUCGACCGAUCCUGAUGUUCUCGGAUGGAUUUGA